AACUCCGGUGGUACGGGAUGGACCCGCGUCUGAUUAGCUGGUUGGCGGGGUAACGGCCCACCAAGGCGACGAUCAGUAGCCGGCCUGAGAGGGCGGACGGCCACAUUGGGACUGAGACACGGCCCAAACUCCUACGGGAGGCAGCAGUGGGGAAUAUUGCACAAUGGGGGAAACCCUGAUGCAGCGACGCCGCGUGAGUGAAGAAGCGUUUCGGCGCGUAAAGCUCUGUCAGCGGGGAAGAAACACGGUUCGCGAGAGCCGCGGACGGUACCCGACCAAGAAGCCCCGGCUAACUACGUGCCAGCAGCCGCGGUAAUACGUAGGGGGCAAGCGUUAUCCGGAUUCACUGGGUGUAAAGGGAGCGUAGACGGCGAGACAAGUCUGGAGUGAAAGGCCGGGGCCCAACCCCGGGACUGCUCUGGAAACUGCCUGGCUGGAGUACAGGAGAGGUAAGUGGAAUUCCUAGUGUAGCGGUGAAAUGCGUAGAUAUUAGGAGGAACACCAGUGGCGAAGGCGGCUUACUGGACUGUAACUGACGUUGAGGCUCGAAAGCGUGGGGAGCAAACAGGAUUAGAUACCCUGGUAGUCCACGCCGUAAACGAUGAUCACUAGGUGUCGGGGGUUAGAAGGCCCCC
rnacentral:rRNA from 1 species